rnacentral:rRNA from 1 species
ACAGCAGCCGCCGCGGGAAUACGAAGGGGGCUAGCGUUGUUCGGAUUUACUGGGCGUAAAGGGCGCGUAGGCGGACUGAUAAGUCAGGGGUGAAAUCCCAAGGCUCAACCUUGGAACUGCCUUUGAUACUGUCUGUCUUGAGUUCGAGAGAGGUAAGUGGAACUGCGAGUGUAGAGGUGAAAUUCGUAGAUAUUCGCAAGAACACCAGUGGCGAAGGCGGCUUACUGGCUCGAAACUGACGCUGAGGCGCGAAAGCGUGGGGAGCAAACAGGAUUAGAGACCCCUGUAGUCCCUGUCUCUUAUAC